AAACUGGAAAAUAAUGUACAUUUCAGAAUUAUACAAGGAACAAGAAAUGGGUUAACAACUUAACUCUAUGGAGUCUUGGGCUAUUUUGUCCAUUUUUGAAUUCUUUUCAUGUCUUUGUAAGUAAUUUUGUGUCUUUUUUUGGUCA